UCUACUAAACUUUUAUGUACUGGAGUGGCGGAUAUUAUUUUGUGUUGUUGGUUUUGAACGGAUAUAGACUUAAUAAGAUGGAUUUAAUUCAGAUAAAGUGGUACAGGAUACAAUCCAUUUUCAUAUGGAAUUGGUAUGAAGCGGAAAUAAGCAUUUUCAGGGUUGUUUUUACAUUAAAAGACGGCGAAGCAUGAUGUCAAAGGAAAGUCGAACGUGCCGAUUGAAUGUAAAAUGGGGUAUUUGUUUACCACUCCGAGCAUUAGCUGUUCUUUGUUCAUCUUAUUUUUUACAGUUAUUGCUCGGGGAUGUAUAUAAAUAUACCCGGUUGUCUUCAGUGUUUGAUAUAUCAGGAAUAAUAAUGGAGGUGAACGAAAUAUAUAACAAUAACGUGUAAGAUGUGGGAAACAGAUGUAAUAAAGGAGACAUUAUAUUCCUUGUGAGUCAUGAUUCCCCGAGUUAGGACCAAUGGCAAGGAACUUAUCGAUAUUUUGAGUCCAUUUCAAGACUAAAGUUACCUGAGAAGAUUUACAAGAUAUAUUGAUGACAUGUUUUCCAAGUAAAUGCUUGACAAUGUCGAACGGUAGUUUCAGAUCUGCGUUCUCAUUUGGAUCGGAAGCAAUGUUACACGAUAAUUUCCGUCAAUGCAAACACUGGUUUAGCUGUGUAUCUUUGAAAGGUUCAAAAUCUUCGUGUUCAAGCGAUGAUGACACAUACUAUUUCGGAACAAAUAUAAGAUGAUUUUAUAUUUCCACAACAUUUCAGAAUUGAUAUGGAACAGUUACAUUUUCUGUAAUAUGCCAAACAUGAUUUGUUAAAGUUUAGUGAACGGCAUCUUCCUAAUCAAAUACGGAACAAUUCUUCAGAAAGGAAAGAAGUGAAUAAAGAUGCAGACUGAUUCUUCAAAGGAGGUCCAAGAAAGUUCCAGUGAGGCUUGUUCUGACAUUACACACGACAACAUGAAGACAUUUAAAAAUAAAAAAAAUAAAAAUGCGGUGCUUAGGAGAAAAGUUGGGUUUAAAGAAGGUCAAGGUAGGACAUAUGAUCAACAACCGUCAGAGUGCAGCAAACUGCCGAUAUCUGAGACGGGUAAAAGAAAGGAACCGGAAAGUAAAAAUGCCGAGGAAGUGCGAAAAAGUACAAGAUACACAUUCACCUCUAGCGCUGCCGAUAAGCGUGCCGAUCAACAGAACAAUGUGGGAAAACAAUAUUUCAAAAAACCUGAAACUGUGCAAGCACUGACCACUGGUAAAAUAAAGCCAGGAAACAGGAUAACUAAGGUCGAGUUACAAAACGCGUUAUUGUAUGCAAAAAAGGGAAUUGAGGUACAAGCAGCCAAAGCCGAAGACAAAAGUUGUGUGCUUUUUGUCGAUGAUUCCAGACAGGGGCUCAAAUAUCAAUUUGAGUACUUUUAUAAACGUCUCCCAUGAUCCACAUUUAAUCAAUAAAGUAAUCAUUUAUUCAUUCAAAUAUGUGCUUUGUUUCACCAAUUUUAGCAUAAUUUCUCAAAACUUAUUACUUGUGUUUUUUGUACAAUUUUUAAAGUAUAAACUAUAAUUCUUUUCCACGAAAUGUCGGAAAGUUUAUCAAUUUUUCUUUACAAAUAUAAAUCUAUGCUGACACAUGUAUUUAUAUGACAUGAUGGCUCAGACUAUUUAAUAAUUAUUUCAGUUAAUAUUUAAAAACUAAACAACAAAUUCUCAAUAUUUUGUUUAAGGAGUUUCUGUCAAUGAUAUAAAUGUAUUACUUUUUCCAUACCAGAAAAUAUGCAAGUUGAAAUUUGUGAUGAUAUCUUAAUCUUUACAGCACAAAUUGUAUAUCUGUAUUAUAGUUCAAUAUAAUUAUGUUAGUAAAUAUUUUGUAGAUUUAAAUCUUAGAAAUUCCGAAAUGUAAAUUAGUAAGCAUUUUUGAAAGUAGAUAAUUAAGGCAUUUAGAUAUUAAAUUAGAUAAGGUAUCAAAAAUAUUGUCACAUGUAAAAUAUAUGUAGAUUAAUUUCACAUUGCAUAAGAUGUUACCAAGAAACUUCGUGCGUUUGCAACCCUGGAUGUUCUAUAAUUGAAUAAUAUCUGAUCAAUUUAGUCUUUUUUCAUAUUCUGCGUAAAAAAGUCAUAUCAAAUUCAUAUUAUUCAUUUUCCAAACUUAAAGUUAUACUAUGUUUGGUGUUUGAAAAUAUUGAUUACUACUACAUGGCCUUUAUGUAAAUAUAAAAAUAAACAUGAUUCGGCUUAAUUCAAAGUAGAUAUGCUAUCUUUUAAACUCCAUACACUAUCAGUAGUCACAAUAUGAAUACAAAGUGUCAUUAAUAAAAAAAUGGCAUUUUUUUUAAGAAAAGACCAAUUUCAUUUGACCUUUAAUAGGGAAAGCAGCUUUUAAUACAAGAUUUGAACACAUUUUACUCAACUUUAAAACAUCCAGUCAGAUUUCUUGGAUUUCAAUGAAUUUCUGUAAUAUGAAUAUUUUACUCAAUAUUGAGCAUAGUAUAUAUUUAAGAAAUCCGAAACAGAUAAAAAUUGUACUCUGUCUAGCCUGGUUUUCAUUUGCCAAGUACAUAAAUUUGAUACAUAAUCUAUAUUGAACUAUAUUGAAGUAAUACAGUUUUGUCAAAAUGUUAAAAUUUGUAGUGUGAAAGACAGAAGUCAAUACACAUUAUUGAUACAAUACUUAUUUUAUUUGGACUCGUAAGCAGCUAACGUUUCGUCAAAUAUAUGACUGCUGCGUAAUCGUCCAAUAUAAUUCUGAUUUAUAUCAACAAUGAAUAAUUUCCUAAUAAUAUAAAUAUACCAUCAUAUCAUCUUCAUAUUAUUAUCAGGUUAUAACAUGAAAGAAUGUUUAAUAUUUGUUAGUCAAUGUUUCGUUUAUCUAGAUUUGAGGAAUUGAGCCACAUGUACGAACAUGACACAAACAUUUUAUUCAGGUAUAGGCACAUAAUGUCUCAAAAAUAUGUUUCAAUAUGGAUUUAGAAAUACAUGUAUUUGAAACCUUUAUAACCUUAAUAAAUUAGUAUUGCACUGAUUUUUUGUUGUAAAGCAAGCAAAAGUAAGAUAAAUGGUGCUUUUACCUCUAUUGUAAAUACUUAUUCACUAUAGUAACUUUACUUAUUGCCAAAACAAAAAGAAAGUAAAAAAAUGGCUCAAGUAUAUGGCCAAAUAGUAACUUUGUUGGAACUCGUUACAAGAUUUCUCAAGCCUAGGAAAGGAAACAACAAAUGAUAGAAUAGUUAUACUUAAUGGACUAUAAAAUUAGAUAAGAUAUACAAGUUGAAUAUUUAGUUGAUAUAUACCAUCUCCUAAUAUUAUUUUAGUGUAUGUAUUUUGUGUAUGUUCAUGUUUUCAUAUAUGUUGGCAUUUAGUUGAGAUUCAGUCAUCUAUAGAAAUUUAUGAUACAGAAAUUUGAGGUACACUUACCCAUGUUGCCAUUAUUAUUACACAUAUUAAUUACCCAUUUUAUAUAGACUGUCAUUUUUAAAAUAUAUUGUUUUUCUCAUAUGUGAAUUUCAAUGCUAUCACUACUUCCGGGUUGUAAAACAUAUGGCAUGUGUAUAAAACAUUUCACAUCUUCCAGUUUUUUUUAUUUUAUAACUGUUGAAUUGUUUAUACAUAUCAAACUCUAAGAGCAUUCAUUAUUGCACGAUUAGUGUUAUAUAUUUUAACCAUAAUUAAAAAGCAACUUAUCCAUUGUUACACUGAAACGAAGUUAUAGAGUAAAAUUAUAGAGUAAAUUACACAAGCGGGUUAUAAUUGUUAGUGGAAAAUCUCUUAUUGUCAAAUUGAUAUUCAAGAAGGGAAAAUAUAGUUUUAUACAAAUCAGUUUAAAAAUUAGUUACAUGUGUUGUUAACAAACAGUUUUACAAUUUGUAAUAAUGUUUUUGUAUAAUAACUUGUGGUAAUUGUCACGUUGAUUUUAUAUACUUAUAUCGGUUGUUUAUACACAGUGUAAAUUUUUUUGACAAUAUCAGUGUAUAAGUUCUUGUGACAACAUUCAUGUUUAACAACUUGUGACAAUAUUCAAGUGUUAUAAUUUGUGAGAAUGUUCAAGUGUUAUAGGAGAUGUAAUAUACGUAUACCGGUUGUUAAUACACAUUGUAAUAAUUUGUGACAAUAUCAAGUGUUAUAGUAGAUGUAAUAUACGUAUAUCGGUUUUUAAUACACAGUGUAAUAACUUGUGACAACAUUCAUAUGUAACAACUUGUGACAAUAUUCAAGUGUAAUAACUUGUGACUAUGUUCAAGUGUUAUAGGAGAUGUAAUAUACGUAUAUCGGUUGUUAAUACACAGUGUAAUAAUUUGUGACAAUAUCAUUGUGUAAGUACAUUUGACAGCAUUGAUUUGUGGCAAUAUUCAAGGGUUAUAGGAGAUGUUUGUGUUGGUUUGUGACAAGAAAAAGUUUUGUUAGUGAUCUGUAAUAUCACAUAUAAAUUGCUAUGGAGUGUAGAAAACGACUUGCGCUUAACUGUGGUACAGAGAUCAUGCAGGCAGUUUGAUAAGUCAUAGCUCUUUCUAUGGCAAAAUCAAAUUAAAGUGAAUGAUUGUUGUGAAGAAAAGCAAACAAACUAAUGUAACUAUACAGUAGGAUUGUAUAUAAAACAUUUAGUUUAUUUAUAAGCACUCGUGGUGAUGAUAUUACAAGUUUGAACUGUUAUCGUAAUUAACAAUAUGUACAUACAUUUGAUGUAACUAUGUUACAUUUUAAAAAUAUAUCAUUGUAUAUAGAAAUAAUGGUGAUUGGAAUUAUUUGCUUUAUAGGUUUUGAGAAGUUAAUAAUUCUGUAUCACAAUAUGACAAUAUUCUUGAUUGACUUACUGUUUAUUAUAUAUUGCUUUCAUUUAAUUACCAGGGUAGCCAAAAACCAUGUUAAGUCAGGUGCAUACAAAAAAUAAAUCUAAUCUAAUGCCAUAUUUUGUAAGUAAUAAAGGGUUUUAAACAACGAAGAGUAUAAAAGUUUAAAUAUGUCUCAACUGUCAGUUAAAAUUCCACUUUUUUCAUUACUUAAUCUCUUUGAAGUUAUUUUCCGGAUCAUGAUGAAUGUUGUCCUAUGCAUUGGUUGCAUUGUUCAAACCGUGCCUCUAUGAGCUGUUUUUGAAUUUCAAGAGAUAAAGUUGUUGGGUUCAUCUGUGAUACGCUUUUCUUCUAUGUCAUGUGUUAUCAUUCCGCGAACAUCCUUGUUGACCAUUGUACUAAAUCCAACGAAAACAGUCAGGUACCUGUUGUUUUGCAUGUUGAGAAGAAAAGGUUUUCUUAUAAAUUAAUUUAAGCAGAACAACGAGUCACAAUGUUUUUUAUGGGAUAUGUAUUAUUGCAAAGAGAGUCUGCAAAACUAAAGCUAAUGUACAAGCUGCCUCAAUCACUGUACCCAUUUGUCCAUCGAUUAAGACCGAAAUAUUGUUAUAUUAUUAUUUUUUCGUAAUUUCUCGAUAUACAGAUAAGCAAUUUGUUGGCUGCCCUGUCAUGUGCGUCUUGCUUCCUUUCUUGUACAUAUUUGAAACAAGAACCUGUAAUAAAAAUUUAAUGUUGCAUUAUUGAGGAUAUUCAAUUCUCAUGUUUAAAACAAAAAUAUCAGAAUCGUUAAGCAGAUCUGAUGCUUUUCUUUAUCGAAAUUUUGAAAAAAAUAUAUUGACUAUAUCACUGAAAGAAUAUAUUCUUGGUGGUCAACAAAUAUUGUUAGAGAAGUUGGUCCAUCAGGGAGCGGUAGAAACAAAUAAGAACUGAAAGACUGUAUUUCUGUAUUUCAAAAUAAUUUUAUGAUUUUGUUUUACCUGUUAGCCAUAGAUCUUCUGUUUUGUGUUGUUCCAAUAAAUCUUACGCUGAAAUCUAUGGAAAUAUUACAGAGAAUGUUGCAAUUAUGUAAAUUGUUAAUUGAAGAUGAAAUUCAUGUUAAGCAGAUGUUAGUCACAAAAGCUAUAAAAAUAAAUGGUAACCUGUCCUAAUCAACUCAUAUGUGUUCAGCGAAUAAAUAUUUGGUUAUUUAAAAAGGGAAUGCAUUAGUUUCAAAACGUUAAAAUAAUGAUUUGAGAGCGUGUAAGAUGUUAUUCACCUAAAUAGAUAACGUUGAAUGUAAAACUAUUUGUCAUAAAAGUAUCAAAAUUUAUACACAGUAGUAUCUUGACUAAUUUUCAUGUAAUUUUGUUGUGAUUUAUGGUGGCAUAUAAUCUUUUAUUUAUUGAAAAAAUUAACUAGUUACGUAAGUAGUUAACCACAUAACUAACUAGUUAAUUAAAAUUUUAACUAGUUACGUAACUAGUUAACCUCUUAAUUAACUAGUUAGUUAUAUGGUUAUCUGGUGGCAGAAAUAUGCCACCAUAGUGAUUAAUGCUUCCGCGGGAUCACUUUAUUUCCAGAUUAUUUUCAUUCAAAAUACUAAAUCAUUAUAACUUCUAAAUGCUAAAAGGCAGCAUAUCAAAAUAUGGUUGAGGCUAUUUGCCAAUGAAUAACUUUUUGAAACUAUAACAGAACACCUAGAAUAAUAAAAACGUUUGAGAAAUAAGUAAAAAAAAAUUGUUUCCGGGGCAUAAUGGGCUUUUAAAGAAAGUAAUAGAUAGGUAAUACGCCAAAUACUGUUAUGCAAUAUUGAAGUAAGGAAUCAUCUGAUAUACAGAUAACAAAAUUUGAUGUUGUUAUAGGAGAUUUUAAUAUUUUUUUGCUAUCACAAGUGAUAAAGUCAAUUUAUAUUUUUAAUUUUCUUUAAAUUACAUUUGAUUAAGUUGUUAAAUCUUAAUAGGAGAUUUUAAUAUUUGUUUUGCUAUCACAAGUGAUUAAGUCAAUUUAUAUUUUUAAUUUUCAUUAAAUUACCAUUGAUUAAGUUGUUAAAUCUUAUUCGUUAUGUCUGUCAUAAUCUCAUAUAUUACAAAAAAAUAAGUGUUUCAUCACACUGAAAGGUGUCAUAUUGUAAGUUAUUACAUGCUAUAUAUUGUUAUGGUAAAAUGGUAUUUCAUGUAAAGUUUCUACCUACCGCUUCAAUAUUAUGACAUAUUUUUUAAUUUGUAAUUAAUACCGCUUCAAUAUUAUGACAUAUUUUUUUUAAUUUGUAAUCUUUUUGAGAGUUAAGUGCUUGAAAAGUGAUUGAUUGUCUCAUCAUUUUCUUAACAUACUUAAAUGUAUCAUUUCAUUGUUUUUACACCUUUAAUACAUCUAGGCGUUUUUUAUAUUCUUGGUGAUUGUUUAAUUGAUGCUGU